ACUCCUACGGGAGGCAGCAGUGGGGAAUAUUGGACAAUGGGCGCAAGCCUGAUCCAGCCAUGCCGCGUGUGUGAAGAAGGCCUUAUGGUUGUAAAGCACUUUAAGCGAGGAGGAGGCUACUUUAGUUAAUACCUAGGGCUAGUGGACGUUACUCGCAGAAUAAGCACCGGCUAACUCUGUGCCAGCAGCCGCGGUAAU
rnacentral:rRNA from 1 species